rnacentral:rRNA from 1 species
UACAGAGGGGGCAAGCGUUGUUCGGAAUUACUGGGCGUAAAGGGCGCGUAGGCGGCCCGCUAAGUCGAACGUGAAAUCCCCGAGCUCAACUCGGGAACUGCGUCCGAUACUGGCGGGCUUGAAUCCGGGAGAGGCGAGUGGAAUUCCUGGUGUAGCGGUGAAAUGCGCAGAUAUCAGGAGGAACACCGAUUGCGAAGGCAGCUCGCUGGAACGUUACUGACGCUGAGACGCGAAAGCGUGGGGAGCAAACAGG